UGUCCUCCAUCGGAGGUCUAUAUUGAGCAGAUUCUUUUUGGUUGGGUGGUGGAACCGGAGCUUGCUCCAUUCACUCCAUGCAUUGACCUGGUAUUGCAGUGCUUCCAGGACCGGUGC
rnacentral:snRNA from 1 species